ensembl:lncRNA
AGCCUAGUGGUUAGAUCGUUGGGCCAGUAACCAGCAGGUAGCCUAGUGGUUAGAGCGUUGGGACAGUAACCAGUAGGUAGCCUAGUGGUUAGAUCGUUGGGCCAGUAACCAGCAGGUAGCCUAGUGGUUAGAGCGUUGGGCCAGUAACCAGCAGGUAGCCUAGUGGUUAGAUCGUUGGGCCAGUAACCAGCAGGUAGCCUAGUGGUUAGAUCGUUGGGCCAGUAACCAGCAGGUAGCCUAGUGGUUAGAGCAGGUAGCCUAGUGGUUAGGGCGUUGGGCCAGUAACUAGCAGGUAGCCUAGUGGUUAGAGCGUUGGGCCAGUAACUAGCAGGUAGCCUAGUGGUUAGAGCGUUGGGCCAGUAACCAGCAGGUAGCCUAGUGGUUAGAUCGUUGGGCCAGUAACCAGCAGGUAGCCUAGUGGUUGAGGCGUUGGGCCAGUAACCAGCAGGUAGCCUAGUGGUUAGAGGCGUUGGGCCAGUAACCAGCAGGUAGCCUAGUGGUUAGAGGC